AAAUUGAAGAGUUUGAUCAUGGCUCAGAUUGAACGCUGGCGGCAGGCCUAACACAUGCAAGUCGAACGGUAACAGGAAGCAGCUUGCUGCUUUGCUGACGAGUGGCGGACGGGUGAGUAAUGUCUGGGAAACUGCCUGAUGGAGGGGGAUAACUACUGGAAACGGUGGCUAAUACCGCAUAACGUCGCAAGACCAAAGAGGGGGACCUUCGGGCCUCUUGCCAUCAGAUGUGCCCAGAUGGGAUUAGCUUGUUGGUGAGGUAACGGCUCACCAAGGCGACGAUCCCUAGCUGGUCUGAGAGGAUGACCAGCCACACUGGAACUGAGACACGGUCCAGACUCCUACGGGAGGCAGCAGUGGGGAAUAUUGCACAAUGGGCGCAAGCCUGAUGCAGCCAUGCCGCGUGUAUGAAGAAGGCCUUCGGGUUGUAAAGUACUUUCAGCGGGGAGGAAGGUGUUGUGGUUAAUAACCGCAGCAAUUGACGUUACCCGCAGAAGAAGCACCGGCUAACUCCGUGCCAGCAGCCGCGGUAAUACGGAGGGUGCAAGCGUUAAUCGGAAUUACUGGGCGUAAAGCGCACGCAGGCGGUCUGUCAAGUCGGAUGUGAAAUCCCCGGGCUCAACCUGGGAACUGCAUUCGAAACUGGCAGGCUUGAGUCUUGUAGAGGGGGGUAGAAUUCCAGGUGUAGCGGUGAAAUGCGUAGAGAUCUGGAGGAAUACCGGUGGCGAAGGCGGCCCCCUGGACAAAGACUGACGCUCAGGUGCGAAAGCGUGGGGAGCAAACAGGAUUAGAUACCCUGGUAGUCCACGCCGUAAACGAUGUCUACUUGGAGGUUGUGCCCUUGAGGCGUGGCUUCCGGAGCUAACGCGUUAAGUAGACCGCCUGGGGAGUACGGCCGCAAGGUUAAAACUCAAAUGAAUUGACGGGGGCCCGCACAAGCGGUGGAGCAUGUGGUUUAAUUCGAUGCAACGCGAAGAACCUUACCUGGUCUUGACAUCCACAGAACUUUCCAGAGAUGGACUGGUGCCUUCGGGAACUGUGAGACAGGUGCUGCAUGGCUGUCGUCAGCUCG
rnacentral:rRNA from 1 species